UACGUAGGGACCGAGCGUUGUCCGGAAUCAUUGGGCGUAAAGAGCGUGUAGGCGGCCACUUAAGUCCUGCGUGAAAUCUUGCGGCUCAACCGCAAGCGGUCGUGGGAAACUGGGUGGCUAGAGUGCGGGAGAGGAGACUGGAAUUCCUGGUGUAGCGGUGAAAUGCGCAGAUAUCAGGAGGAACACCGGUGGCGAAGGCGGGUCUCUGGGCAGUAACUGACGCUGAGGCGCGAAAGCCAGGGGAGCAAACGGG
rnacentral:rRNA from 1 species